UCUCCCACAGCUCCGGUCGCCGCCCCCACCUUCUCCCUCUGCUCUAGCCACUGACCUGCACCACGCAUUGCGCCACCACCCCGCACUCCAACAGACGCCGCCUCCGUGGCCCCCCACGGAUCGAGCCGUCACCGUGACCCCUCCCGCUGCUCCGUCCGUAGAUGCCAGCGCCCAACCCAAUGAAGUCGUGGAGGUCGACGUCUCCCAUGGCUAUGGCGGGCAUCUACGCAGUCGGGCUAGCUCCGGCCAUCCUCGAGGUCGCCUCCUCACUCGCCGUUAAAUCACCUCAUAUUUUUUUGAUCUCUGUUCAUGGGGAGCAUAUCAGUUCAUCAGUUCGUCCGUUCGUGUGCAGCAUAUCAGUUCAUCAGUUCGUCUGGAGCUUUCUCGGCCGCCAGGUACUACUACAAAGCAGAAAGGAUCUUUCGAAGUUGGUUAACAACAAAAUGCCGUGCCUCUUGUGCUUCAAGACUGCUAGUUCUUCAACUAAAAACAUAUACAUUUCGCUUGGCAUACUUUCUGGAUGUGGUAUUACAUGAUAUCAGUCCCAAAAAGGGCAGAAUAUCUGGAAGUUGUUCAAGGAUGGUUUCAUCAGCAAAAAGAAGUCGCAGAGCUUCACUCCAGGUCUCUGCAAAAGAGGGCGCAUGAGGCGAAGCAGAAGGGCGACCAUAGUGGCUAUGGUUUGUAGCUGCAACUUUAAUUGGCACAAUGGUCUUGAUUACCAGCUCAUGGCCCUUUACUGCUUGUGUUGUCGAGGGAGCCUGGGGCUGCUGCUGACUCCACCACCGCUUCAGCGUCCACCGUGAGUGGCAUUGGCCGCCCUCUGGGUGAGAUGAUUCAUGGAGUACAGCUGUUGUUGAAUAUGACUUGUGUACUUGCUGGACAAUAGUGUAUGAACGUUUCCGAUGGAUAUAGCAAGCCGGCGCAAAAAAGAGGACUUGUACAACGCUUCUCCAGGUUCUCCGCUGUGACACUCUCUCACAACAAUCUCUCUCUUUCUCUGCUUCUGCUAUUAAAAUGCUUACAUGUGUUGUUCUGCUGAUUGAGUACUUUGGGAAGAUGCGAAAAGAACAUGUUUAGAUGGUUGCUUUUCAUGCGUAUUUGUCACUA